rnacentral:tRNA from 1 species
GAGGUUGUGGCUCAUCUAGGUAGAGCACUCGCCUAGCACAUGCGAGGCACUGGGUUCGAUCCUCAGCACCACA